rnacentral:tRNA from 1 species
GAAGAGCUAGCUUAGUGGUUGAGCACUGGUAUGUCAAACCAGCGACACGAGUUCGAUCCUCGUGCUCUGCG